CUGAGUCCAUGAUACUGCGCGGAAUUUUCCUUAAAUGUGGGCUGGCUUAAACGUUUAAGCCCGCCCACAUUUAGCUCCUCCUCGAUCUGCGAGCUGCAGUCAGGGGUUACUCACUGCGAUCGCUCAGACCUCUCGCUUAUUAUGCUACAAUGCUAACAAUGCUAAAAAACAAGAAUAUUUCAGCAUCUGGUACGUCAUGAAGUAGGGCGUUGCUAUGGACCCAUGAUGCGGAAGCAUAUCUCUCCUUGAUGUUGCCCUGCGCCAUUGAGCAGUUUACAUAGGAAUGAAUGGGCGCCAUUUUGGAAUCCGUUGUCCAUUUUAUAUUAUGUCCAUGGUACAGACUCAUAUCAUAGAAAUUCGUAGCGCCCAAUAAACGGCUCCGGGCAAUCGUAAACCACGCCUCAAAUACGAGAAAAUGAAUGUGUGGUUCCCAGACCUCAUCUCAAUGUAGAUUGAGAUGAUGUCUGCCGUUAGCCAGGCUAUAUAAAGACUGGGACCAGAAAAUAGUUACUUUCUCUCCAUUGAAACCCGUUCAUAUUUUCUGAUCUCAUAGGUCCCAUGGGCUCUACAAGAAGGGGCGUGACUACUACUUGGCUCAGUCCGGGUCACGCCCACUUUUGGCGGUGAAAACGCCAAAAGAGGAUAGGAGAAUAGGAGAAUAAUUGAUAGCUUCCAGUUCAGAUGAAUCUGCAAUAGACAUUCACAAUGGCGUGUCCAACUGUCAAAGUGACUCUCUUGAUCUUGGUAAAGAAAGGCUCGAGCGAGAAGUUGCCAGUUCCAUCCUAAACCAUAAAGUUGGAGCUGAAGCCACCGAACACUGGUCUGGACGACCAGAUCCCCUCCUAUCAGGAGCUGGAGAGGAUAGAGAAGGAGGAGGCUGCAGUGAGGCCCAAAUCGGACAACAAACACAGAACUAACGAUUCCAAUACUUUGUAAGAAGUAGGGGGAAGUAGAGGGCUUUGUAGACACGAAUUGCCGUCAUAAUUGUGAUUGAUUGCACUUUUGUGUGACUAGCACACAGGAGACCACCUCUGGAACGAGGGCGUGCCAGUAUUUGUGUGUGUACGUAAUCUGUGUAAAAUGUGUCAGUGUGUUGUUUGUGUUAUCAUUGGUAGUUUUUCUGCUUACAGAAUUGUAGCCGUGGUCGUUUCGUAGGUUGAUGAAGUUGGUGAGUGUAGGUGAGGUUUACACAAAACUUGUGUAAACAUCCUAAGCCAACCGUCUUUGUAUGCUUCUGUCAUAUCAGCUUUAGA
rnacentral:lncRNA from 1 species